rnacentral:rRNA from 1 species
UACAGAGGUCUCAAGCGUUGUUCGGAUUCAUUGGGCGUAAAGGGCGCGUAGGCGGCGGGGUAAGUCGGGUGUGAAAUCUCAGAGCUCAACUCUGAAACUGCACUCGAUACUGCUCUGCUUGAGGACUGGAGAGGAGACUGGAAUUCACGGUGUAGCAGUGAAAUGCGUAGAUAUCAGGAGGAAUACCGAUGGCGAAGGCAGGUCUCUGGGCUGACACUGACGCUCAUGCACGAAAGCGUGGGGAGCAAACAGG